UACGUAGGGUGCGAGCGUUGUCCGGAAUUAUUGGGCGUAAAGAGCUCGUAGGCGGCUUGUCGCGUCGGAUGUGAAAGCCCGGGGCUUAACCCCGGGUCUGCAUUCGAUACGGGCAGGCUAGAGUUCGGUAGGGGAGAUCGGAAUUCCUGGUGUAGCGGUGAAAUGCGCAGAUAUCAGGAGGAACACCGGUGGCGAAGGCGGAUCUCUGGGCAUGUCCUGACGCUGAGGAGCGAAAGUGUGGGGAGCGAACAGG
rnacentral:rRNA from 1 species